rnacentral:lncRNA from 1 species
AAGUGUUUUGAUACAGAUCGGAUCUAUGCUCUCAGCCUAACUAUGUUUCAGUGGGCCCCGUCAAUGGGGAUUAUACAUUGGUACUCAGUGGAUCCUACCAGUAGGGGUUGUGCGCUGGUGUUUGUGGACCCUGCCAGUGGGGGUUGUGCGCUGGUAUUCUGUGGACCCCGCCAAUGGGGGUUAAACGUUGGUCAUAGUCGAGGCUGUUGAGUU